rnacentral:lncRNA from 1 species
CCCACUUCAACAAGAAGAAUUCCAUUUUGUAGCCCUGAACCAGAUCAGGAAGUGAUAAAACAGAAUCCAGAUGCCAACCAGCCGUGCCCAUGAGAAAUCAAUCAUAGACGAGAGAAGCUAUUUCUG